rnacentral:rRNA from 1 species
AUUGAACGCUGGCGGCAGGCUUAACACAUGCAAGUCGAACGAGUGGCGGACGGGUGAGUCAUGUCUGGGAAACUGCCUGAUGGAGGGGGAUCACUACUGGAAACGGUAGCUAAUACCGCAUACCAUCAGAUGUGCCCAGAUGGGAUUAGCUUGUGGGUGGGGUAACGGCUCACCAAGGCGACGAUCCCUAGCUGGUCUGAGAGGAUGACCAGCCACACUGGAACUGAGACACGGUCCAGACUCCUACGGGAGGCAGCAGUGGGGAAUAUUGCACAAUGGGCGCAAGCCUGAUGCAGCCAUGCCGCGUGUAUGAAGAAGGCCUUCGGGUUGUAAAGUACUUUCAGCGAGGAGGCGUUACCCGCAGAAGAAGCACCGGCUAACUCCGUGCCAGCAGCCGCGGUAAUUC